CUCAAAGAGAUAAGAUUAAAGAAGUAUUGAACCAUUUGAAGUUAAAGCGAUUACCUUUUAACGCGAAUUUUUGAAGUUGAGGACAGAAAAUUACUUUGUCAAAAACAAACAUGGCGCAACAGGAAAUGCCGAGAGAAUUUAGGCAAGAUGAACAAUAUGAAAAUGAUAUGGAAAAUGUUGAAGAUUUUCAAAUGGUGCAGCGUAGGGUUGUCGCAUGCCUACAGACACGUCAACGAACUAUUAAAGUCUUCAGAAGUAUUGCUAAAGAGGCUGAUACCAUUCAAAAGGGCUGUUUUGAGACAAACCGGGAUGCGAAUAUAACUUCAGCAAUUGGAGGGGUGUUUGGAGUUUUAGCCGGUGGUAUAACACUUCUCACAGGUGGCACUGCAGCGCCAUUCGUAAUCGGUACAUGUGCUGGAGGAAUUUGUUCUUUAAGCGGUAGUUACUCGAUUAUAAUGAAUGAAAAAGAGCGAGUUAAGCGCAUGAGCGAUUUGGAAACGAGGUUAACGAACCAAAUAACCGAAGACAAUAAAGCAGUAGAAGAUUUUAAGGCCAUUACUUGUAGGAUACGAAAUGGCGAUUAUGGAAACCCUUUCCGUAUAUUUCGCGAUUUACACGUGACCGCUGUUUCUUUGGGUAUCGCUCUGAUUGUAUAUGACGUGGGAUUUGCACUUCCGCCAAUAUUUUCUUUUCUUGGAACGGUAAUGCAAGACAUUCUCUUACAGUUGAUGCCAAAGAUAUUUGGUGCGGCAUUUGGAAGUACUGGGCAGGAAGCCGCAAAAACGGCGGUUAAAGCAAUUUCAGAGAAAAUAACAAAAGAAGGAGCAAAGAAAUCAGUAAAAAAAAAUAGCAGAGGAAACAGCUACGACAGUUGCUAAGGAAGGAAUAAAAACAGCAGCAAAGAGGACAGUGGGUUUUGGUCUCCUUACGUGCGCGUGGGAAGGAUAUAACGCGCGCCAGAAUCACAACGCCUCAAAAGAAGAAUCACAACUUGGCAAAGAGCUGCGUGAACUAGCAAACGAUAUGGAAAAUAACGAGAGAACAGCGGUAAAGGAAGGUGGUGAACGUGCUGAAUAAAAGUUGAUUCGAAAGUUGUUUAAAACACACUUAAGUUUAAAUCUCAGUUUGAACUUAGUGGGCAAGUUCUGAAUCAAAAUUGAAAUUGGAUUUGUAUCGAGUUAUUUAAAAUGAAAAAAAAGAGAAUUCUGACUACCGCGCAAAAGACUGGGGCGAAACUGUGUGCUGAUGUCACAAUAUAGAAACUCAUCUGAGGCGACAUUUUAGCAAACAGCGCAAAAGUGGUUACUCUCACUAAUUUAUCAUAAGCACAUCUAAGUGGGCACAAUUUUUGAAAAAUAUAGCUAAAGAAUGUAAUAACAAGGUGGCGUUCUGGGUUAUAUACGCGCGAUUUGAUGUUUUGUUUGCGAUAGAAGGAGAACCUAAAACCCUGGGUACGAGGUUGAGAACCUAAGAGAAGCGUUACAUUUCCCAAUUGUUAUCGCGAUAAUUCUCACAUGGUUUCCUCGUUGUGUAAGUGUUUGUCGAACUAAAGUAAUUUCUUGGGAAGCGUUUGGGGACACUUAUAUGCAAUGGAAAGAAACCAAGAGAAGAAAAACAGACAAGCGUGGUUCAAUUACACACUACUACAUAAGUUACACGUUUUAGAAAUACCCGAACUUAAUAGUACGCGCAACAGGAAAACCUUAAACAAAAUGGUAUUGAUAUAACGUAUAAAAAUACAGUGCAAAUGUCAAGGUGAAUUGUAUGUGCGUAAUUACAAACGACGACCGAUAUAGACAAAGCUUUAGAAAACAAAGUUCCAACAACAUUUCGGAGUCUGGUAACAUCUCUAAACUUGAUAAAUACAUAUUUCUGCUAAAUUUAAUCACAGAUUGUAGCCUGCAA